ACAGCAGUAGCCGCGGGAAUACGUAGGGUGCAAGCAUUAAUCGGAAUUACUGGGCGUAAAGCGUGCGCAGGCGGUUCGCUAAGACAGAUGUGAAAUCCCCGGGCUUAACCUGGGAACUGCAUUUGUGACUGGCGGGCUAGAGUAUGGCAGAGGGGGGUAGAAUUCCACGUGUAGCAGUGAAAUGCGUAGAGAUGUGGAGGAAUACCGAUGGCGAAGGCAGCCCCCUGGGCCAAUACUGACGCUCAUGCACGAAAGCGUGGGGAGCAAACAGGAUUAGAUACCCCUGUAGUCCCUGUCUCUUAUAC
rnacentral:rRNA from 1 species